rnacentral:lncRNA from 1 species
AAAGAUAUGAUUUUCAGGGCAGAUAAGAUUGAUCUUAAAAGCUUGGAUGUUCAGCUGGAGAAACACUUAAGCCGCGUUUGGUCUAGAAGCACUGAUCCUCAAAAGCCUAAGGAGGUUUGGGAGAUUGAUUUAUCAAAGUUGGAGAUAAAAUAUCUUGUAGCUCGGGGAACAUAUGGUACGAUAUAUCGCGGUACUUAUGAUAAGCAAGAUGUUGCAGGUAUGUAUUACCCUCUUUUUUUCUUUUUCGUUUUUACUUACAAACAAGUUUGCCUCUUUCCUUUCUGAUAAUCAAAGAUGAUAAAAUGGAGACAUGUUGGCAUUUUUCAAGUUUUUUCUCUCCAGAAUCUAUGUUUUCUGUUACCUCAACUUUUGUUCCUUGAAAGUGUUCUUCUAGGCCAAAUAGCGUGACAUAAUGUGGCUAUUCAUAGGUAAUAGGUUUCAACAUAAACCCCAAGUGUAACACCCCCAUCUUAAAUUAAGACGAGGAGUUACCUACAAACCCAAAACCUGCAAACAGAGCGCUAAUAUGUUCGAAACAAUAAUAAACAGGUCUAAUAAUUCCUAAAAUGAUUUAAAUCCUCCAAAACAAUUAAAUCCGAAUAAUGCGAAUAAAUAGAAUCUCUAACAAUAAAAUCCGAAUAAAUGCUAGAAGUCCAUAAAUCCUAAAAAUGCGAAAAGAAUGGGGUGCUCUCCAUCACACAGUCCCGAAUCCCCCUAAGUACCUGCCAGAAGAAGAAUACGGCAUGAGCCAAAUGCCCAGUACGGAUUGGAAGCAUUUAUAAAACCAGAAACACUUAAAAUAUUUUGACAGUAAUAUAAAUCAGUUAUUUUUUUUUAAAUAACAUGCUGAAGCAACAAGGGGUUAGGAUAUUUCAUACCGAGAUCAUAUCAGAACAUAUACAGAUACACACAUCAUAGGGUACCUAAUGUGUGCAACAAAUCGGAUAACGUGUACGGCAUAUACAACGUCACCGUCAAAUCACCAAUCAUAUCAACUGAACUGGGUGCACCCACGUAUCCUGAACAUAUAAUCAAAAUGGCCAAAGCUCCUCCCAAGAGCUAACAGAAGGAUACGCCGUGACCAAUCACACUGUCACGGAAGUGUCAUGUCAAUGGUGCCGCAAAGACAUGGCUGUAGUACCCCUACAGCUGGGUAACUCGGUAUACCCUAUAUCUCUCUAAGGGUUCAAAACAAAAUAGUUUUCACAACUUAAAAAUCACAUGGUACAGAUAUUUCAAAUAAACUGAGCAAAUCAUAUUUUGUAAAAUCUUUGAAAACCGCAUAACAAAUAUUUCAAUCUUUCAAAACAGAUUUUUAAAAUAUUUUUCGGAAAUCAAAACAGUCAAAUGAAUAGCACUGAACAAAACUUAUCAAAUCGGACGGAUCAAAAGAGGCCAGAUCAAAAUAUUUAAUAUCGAAAGGAGUAGCGCUGAAUAAAAGAGAACGAAAUCCGUACAAACACACCGAACAGAAAGGAUCGAAACAGAGUAAACAAAUUUAACACUAAUUGAAGUAGUGCGGAAUAAAAGAGAAUAAAAUCCGUACCUCGAAAAUAGCUAAUCGAACACUCACGAGAAUCCGGAAAUAAUUCGCUAAACUCCCGACUCCGAACCUAAAUAUAAAAUUAUAAUUAAUUACAAGCCAUCGGCUUAAUAACUACAUAAUACGUGAUAGAAUGCGUGUCCUGUAAUAUAACUCAUGCUCGUGCUUCAGUCACAGUACUCGUACACUAGAUUAACUUUACCCACUGUGAAUUACUGUACUAAACAUGGCACAUGCGAGGGUGUGAGUAUUAAUAUGCACCUCAACAAUCAUAUAUCAUGGCAGGAGCUAAUGGUUCAUCACCGUACAAGAAGCAUUCAUUAUAAUAAUAAUAAAUUUAUAAGUAUGUAAUCUACCUGAAUUAAUGAAUCAAAAAUCCUGCUCCUGUGUUUCUUUCCUUCUCGUCUACGCGCCUCCGUUUCUUAACAUCUAGGGCUUAAUAAGAUUGUGUUCUGAUGCGAAGGUCUUAUGUGAAUAUAUACAGUCCUCCUGGAUAUCCUAUUACUACUAUAACUCUAAUAAUUAAUAUUAACCGUUUUAUUAUCUAAUUACUAAAUCUAUUCUAAAUCAAAUCAUUUUAAAAUACUAAGUAUUAUUACUAACUUAUAUUACUAAUUCUUUUUUAAACCAAAUUACCAAACUAAUAUUAUUAAUACUAUUCUAAUUCAGAUUUACUAAUAAUAAUAAUAAAUAAAUGCAGAUAUUACAUAUAUACCCCCUUAAAAAGGAUUCCGUCCCCGGAAUCUAACGAAACUAAUACUCGUACCUGAAUCGAAUAAGUGCGGAUAUCUCUCACGAAUAGAUUCCUCUAAUUCCCAAGUAGCCUCUCGCUCCGAAUGAUUCUUCCACAAAACUUUGACAAACAAAAUAUUUUUCUUCCUCAUUACUCGCUCCUCUCGAUCUAAAAUAGCUUCCGCUUCUUCCUCACAAGAUAGAUCCUCCCUAAUCUUAUGUAAUGGAUACUGAACCACGUGAAACGGAUGAUACUUAUAGCCCUUCAGAACAGACACAUGAAACACAUUAUGCACAUGAGACAACUGCGGUGGCAAAGCAACUCUAUAUGCCACCUCACCCACUCUCUCUAUAACAUCAAAAGGACCCACAUAUCUCGGACUAAGUUUCCCUUUCAUACCAAAACGCUUAACACCCUUACAAGGAGACACUUUCAAGAACACAUGAUCACCGGGUUCAAAUCCACCAAACUUUCUCUUCUGAUCUGCAUAAACCUUUUGACGUGAUUGAGCCUUCUGUAAAUUUUCUCUAGCCUGCGCCACCUUCUCAUUAGUCACUCUAACCAACUCUGGCCCUUCAAUAUCUCUCUCUCCAACCUCAUCCCAACAAGUCGGUGCCCUACACUUCCUACCAUACAAAGCCUCAAAUGGUGGCAUGCCAAUACUUGCGUGCCAGCUGUUAUUAUAUGCAAACUCAACAAGAUACAAAUACUUAUCCCAAUCGCCUGUCCACUCUAAGGCACAAGCUCUCAACAUGUCCUCCAAUGUCUGAAUCGUCCUCUCUGACUGUCCAUCUGUCUGCGGAUGAAAGGCCGUACUAAAGUUAAGUUUUGUUCCCCAAGCUCGCUGAAAUCCCUUCCAAAAGUGUGAUGUGAACCUCGUAUCUCUGUCAGAAACUAUAGACACAGGCAUACCAUGAAGUCUAACAAUAUCCCUCUGAAAAAUCUCCGCCAACUCAUGAACAGGAGUAGUCUCUCGAAUAGGCAAGAAAUGAGCAGAUUUAGUAAGUCUAUCAACUACCACCCAUAUGACAUCAUUCUUCCUAAAAGUCCUUGGUAAACCGGUCACAAAAUCCAUGGUUAUGUUUUCCCACUUCCAAAUCGGAAUAUCUAACUGCUGUAACAAUCCACUAGGUCUCUGAUGUUCUAUCUUCACCUGCUGACAUGUAAGACACUUCCCCACAAACUCCGCUAUAUCUCGCUUCAUUCCAUUCCACCAAAAAUGUGUCUUCAAAUCCCUAUACAUCUUAGUAGAACCCGGAUGAAUAGAAAAUGAAGAACUAUGAGCCUCGGUCAAAAUUGCCUCACGAAUUGCCGAAUCUGAAGGAACACAAAGUUUACUACCCAACCAUAUCACACCCUCAUCAUCAACACGAAAAUCGGUUUGCUUCCCAUUCGCCAACUCCAAUCUAAUAGCAUCCAACUCCGAAUCAUUCUUUUGAGCAUCCUUAAUCUUCGAAAUAAGAUUAGGUUCCACCUUUAAGCUUGCUACACUGCCAUCUGACCCUCUAACAUACAACUCCACAUCUAAGCGCUCUAAAUCUGAAAUAAGGUGCGGCUGAGUAACAAGAGAUGCCACACUCCCGAAGUUCUUCCUACUAAGAGCAUCCACCACCACAUUAGCUUUCCCCGGAUGGUACUGAAUCUUAGCAUCAUAAUCCUUAAGAAGUUCAAGCCACCUCCUCUGCCUCAUGUUCAACUCCUUCUGCGUAAAAAUGUACUUAAGACUCUUGUGAUCAGUGAAGAUAUCACAAGUCUCUCCAUAUAGAUAAUGUCUCCAAAUCUUCAAUGCAAAUACCACUGCUGCUAACUCCAAGUCAUGGGUCGGAUAAUUCACCUCAUAGGGCUUAAGCUGUCUAGAGGCGUAAGAAAUCACCUUCCCAUGCUGCAUAAGAACACACCCCAAACCUCUCUUAGAAGCAUCACUGUAAACCUGAUAUCCCCCACUGCCUGAUGGUAAAACAAGUAUAGGAGCUGACACCAACCUCUUCUUUAGCUCUUGGAAACUCUUCUCACGAUCAUCAUUCCACUCGAACUUAGCACCCUUCCUCAUUAGUUGAGUCAUUGGCAAGGCUAUGGACGAAAACCCCUCAACAAACCGCCUGUAGUAGCCUGCCAAACCCAAGAAACUCCUCACCUCUGUAACGUUGCUAGGUCUCGGCCAAUUAGUGAUAGCCUCGACUUUCGCAGGAUCCAACUCAAUUCCCUUACCAGACACAAUAUGCCCCAAAAAUGCAACCUGCUCCAACCAAAACUCACACUUUGAAAAUUUGGCAAACAAUUUCUUCUCUCUCAAAAUUCCCAACACAAUGCGCAAAUGCUCCUCAUGCUCCUCCUUACUCCUAGAGUAUAUCAAAAUAUCAUCAAUGAAGACCACAACAAACUUAUCAAGGUAAUCAUGAAAGAUCCGGUUCAUCAAGUCCAUAAACACGGCUGGUGCAUUCGUCAACCCAAAAGACAUCACAAGAAACUCAUAGUGACCAUAUCGAGUGCGAAAAGCUGUCUUAGGAAUAUCCUCAUCUCUUACCCGUAACUGGUGGUAACCCGAUCUCAAAUCAAUCUUUGAAAAAUACUUCGCCCCUUGCAACUGAUCGAACAAAUCAUCAAUACGUGGCAACGGAUACCUGUUCCUAACAGUCACCUUAUUCAACUCCCUGUAAUCAAUACAUAAUCUCAUUGACCCAUCCUUCUUCUUCACAAACAACACCGGAGCACCCCAUGGAGACACACUAGGCCUGAUAAAUCCCCUAUCCAACAACUCUUGCAACUGCUCUUUCAACUCAUGCAACUCUAGUGGUGCCAUCCUGUACGGCGUCUUAGAAAUAGGCUCUGCACCUGGAACAAGUUCAAUACUAAACUCCACUUCUCGAUGCGGUGGCAAACCUGGUAACUCAUCGGGAAACACAUCUGCAUAUUCACUCACAACUGCAUAAUCCUCUAUACGAGACUCAACCUUGGAUGUAUCCUUUACAAAAGCAAGAUAACCAUCACAACCCUUAGACAAGAGCUUCUUCGCCUUAAGAGCUGAAAUCAACUUAACCUCCCCUUUUGGCUGAGACCCCUGGUAUACAUACUCUGGCUUAUUCACAUCCCCAAAGAUAACCCGUUUCUCCUCACAAUUAAUCGUCGCCCUAUACUUACUCAACCAAUCCAUACCCAAAAUAAUGUCAAAGUCAUGCAUCAUCAUCGGAAGCAAGUUGACCUUAUAAUUUCUAUCCCCCACAACUAUCAAACACUCUCGGUACACAUCAGAUAUAAUAACAGAAGUCCCCAUAGGGGUAGCAAUAGACAUAUGCGGAGAUAAUAAUGAAGGUAAGACACCAAGAUAACGAACAUAUGAUAGGGAUACCACAGAAUGAGUCGAACCAGUAUCAAAUAACACAUAAGCAUCACGUGUACCCACAAAAACCGUUCCGGAAACAGUACCUGGAUUUGUUGCUGCCUGAGAAGAAGUCAAUGCGAAGACUCUGCCUGUAGGAUUCUGCUGAUUCUGCUGACCUCCACUGCCACUACCUCCAUCACCAUUAUUACGUGGACAGUCCUUUAACCUAUGAUCCAUCGAACCACACGAGAAACAUGCCCCAGUCUGUUUAUAACAAGCUCUGCCCGGAUGGUGUCUACCACAUGUAGCACAAGGAGCCACCGGAAUCAUAUUGGGGUUACCCCCAUACGCUGGAUAACGUCCCUGUCCCCUUUGACGAUUCUGCCACUGUCUAGGCUGCUGCUGAAACUGCUGAGUCUGCCCCUGCUGAGCCUGCCCCUGACCACUAUACUGAUUCUGCCUCUGACCAUGAGCUGUAUGACCUCCCCUAUUCUGGUUCUGUCCACGCCACUGUCCAUACCGACUGUUCUGACCACCAUACCCCUGUCUACCCUGUGCUGUGACUAGCUGAUCAUCUCUACCCCUCUUACGACCACUGUCAGAUCUGUUAGUCCGGAAGUCUAUACGCUCCUUCUCAACAUCCUUGGCUGCAUCAGCCACCUCUGCUACAUUCUGAAAUCUGGAAGAAAUGAUGGACAUCCUAAGUGAAGACUUCAACCCCCAUUUAAAUUUUUCAGCCUGCUGUGCUGCAGUCCCUGCAGAAGUCCCAGCAAAUCCCGCCAACCUGAUAAAUCUCGCAAGAUACUCAGUGAUACUCUCAUCAUGCUUCUGCUCAAUAGAAUUAAACUCUCUCAUAUAACCAUCCUUCUCUGCCUUUGAGAAGUACUGCUCAUAAAACAAAUCUGUGAACCCCUGCCAAGUCAAUGCCUCAACAAAUGCAUCACCCCUGAUAGUCUUCACUCCUCUCCACCACCUCUGAGCAUCCCCCUCUAACUUAUACACAGCCAACCUCACCUUUGUAGCGUCAUCACAUCCCAAUGCAUCAAAAAUCUUCUCAAGAUGAACAAUCCAAUUUUCAGCAUCAAUAGGCUGUGGUGCUGAAUGAAAAGAAUCCGGUUUCUGCUUAACGAACCUAUCGAACCAAGCUAGUGCAUCAGGCUGAUUUUGUUGCUCUUCAUUAUUUCCUGGGUUUCCCUGAUUUUGCCCAGCUUGUUGCAAAGCCUGAGUCACUGCUUGAGCUAUCAACUGAGCUAACUCAGCUGCACCAAUGUUAACGUUAUCGCGCCUAGGAUUCUCACGUCUAGGAGGCAUCUACAAUAUAAGAAACGAAGCGAAUAAGAAAACGAGAUUGAAUAAGAAAAUAGUACAAACAGAUGUCAAAUGAAUUGCGCAGAUGAAGUGAGCAGUUGAAAUGAAUUUAAACAGAAUACCCAUCUUAACGUCUACCCACUCUCACAGGUCAACCUAAAUAGGUUUUCUACAGGAAAGAACCUCGCUCUGAUACCAACUUUGUAACACCCCCAUCUUAAAUUAAGACGAGGAGUUACCUACAAACCCAAAACCUGCAAACAGAGCGCUAAUAUAUUCGAAACAAUAAUAAACAGGUCUAAUAAUUCCUAAAAUGAUUUAAAUCCUCCAAAACAAUUAAAUCCGAAUAAUGCGAAUAAAUAGAAUCUCUAACAAUAAAAUCCGAAUAAAUGCUAGAAGUACAUAAAUCCUAAACAACGAAAAGAAUGGGCUGCUCUCCAUCACACAGUCCCGAAUCCCCCUAAGUACCUGCCAGAAGAAGAAUACGGCAUGAGCCAAAUGCCCAGUACGGAUUGGAAGCAUUUAUAAAACCAGAAACACUUAAAAUAUUUUGACAGUAAUAUAAAUCAGUAGUUUUUUUAAAAUAACAGGCUGAAGCAACAAGGGGUUAGGAUAUUUCAUACCGAGAUCAUAUCAGAACAUAUACAGAUACACACAUCAUAGGGUACCUAAUGUGUGCAACAAAUCGGAUAACGUGUACGGCAUAUACAACGUCACCGCCAAAUCACCAAUCAUAUCAACUGAACUGGGUGCACCCACGUAUCCUGAACAUAUAAUCAAAAUGGCCAAAACUCCUCCCAAGAGCUAACAGAAGGAUACGCCGUGACCAAUCACACUGUCACGGAAGUGUCAUGUCAAUGGUGCCGCAAAGACAUGGCUGUAGUACCCCCACAGCUGGGAAACUCGGUAUACCCUAUAUCUCUCUAAGGGUUCAAACAAAACAAUUUUCACAACUUUAAAAUCACAUGGUACCUAUAUUUCAAAUAAACUGAACAAAUCAUAUUUUGUAAAUUCUUUGAAAACCGCAUCACAAAUAUUUCAAUCUCUCAAAACAGAUUUUUAAAAUAAUUUUCGGAAAUCAAAACAGUCAAAUGAAUAGCACAAAUCAACUUAGCAAAUCGGACGGAUUAAAAUAGGACAGAUCAAAUUCAUUUAAUAUCGAAAGGAGUAGCGCUGAAUAAAAUGAAUAGAAUCCGUACCUCGAAAAUAGCUAAUCGAACACUCACGAGAAUCCGGAAAUAAUUCGCUAAACUCCCGACUCCGAACCUAAAUAUAAAAUUAUAAUUAAUUACAAGCCAUCGGCUUAAUAACUACAUAAUACGUGAUAGAAUGCGUGUCCUGUAAUAUAACUCAUGCUCGUGCUUCAGUCACAGUACUCGUACACUAGAUUAACUUUACCCACUGUGAAUUACUGUACUAAACAUGGCACAUGCGAGGGUGUGAGUAUUAAUAUGCACCUCAACAAUCAUAUAUCAUGGCAGGAGCUAAUGGUUCAUCGCCGUACAAGAAGCAUUCAUUAUAAUAAUAAUAAAUUUAUAAGUAUGUAAUCUACCUGAAUUAAUGAAUCAAAAAUCCUGCUCCUGUGUUUCUUUCCUUCUCGUCUACGCGCCUCCGUUUCUUAACAUCUAGGGCUUAAUAAGAUUGUGUUCUGAUGCGAAGGUCUUAUGUGAAUAUAUACAGUCCUCCUGGAUAUCCUAUUACUACUAUAACUCUAAUAAUUAAUAUUAACCGUCUUAUUAUCUAAUUACUAAAUCUAUUCUAAAUCAAAUCAUUUUAAAAUACUAAGUAUUAUUACUAACUUAUAUUACUAAUUCUUUUUUAAACCAAAUUACCAAACUAAUAUUAUUAAUACUAUUCUAAUUCAGAUAUACUAAUAAUAAUAAUAAAUAAAUGCAGAUAUUACACCAAGCUAUUAUAGCAUAACAAGCUUCAUGUUACUCAUAAUUUUUAUAGAAUUAUGCAAGAUUCUUAUAAGCUUCUGUUGCUAACAUAUUUCUUUACUGUAGAGCAAAACGAGUACAUGAUAAUCAGUUCAUCUGCUUUGUGCUUAUACAGUUUGGAAGGUCGCUGAUAAUAAAAAUGGCUUAAGGAAGACAUCAUUUGGAUGCAAUAUGUUGAAUAUCAAAAUUAAUGGGGUUUCUAUUUGAUAAAUAAUUUUAUGUUGUUAGUUUAUCAGGUUCUUGCAUAUAAUAAUAUUUAUGGGUGGGUUGUAUGCCUGUAUAUCAAAAGAACACCCUAAGAUCCAAGAGCCAGGGAAAUAAUCAGUUUCUGAAAAGGUUGUCAAUCACAAGGCCACAUUUGAUUGUCAUACACUAAUAUCCUCAACUUUCUGCUUUUAUGACAAAUCUGAUAUGAUAGGUGUAUUGGAAAAUGUAACAAACAUAUAUAUGAAUUUAAUCACACAGCUGAUGACAUAAUGUUUAAAUAGAAGAAAGAUGUUAUUGGUCCCAAAUCGGAUCUCCCCAAAUGCCAUAUAUCUCAUUUUAAUUGUCUUUGAAAAUGCUAAAUGAGAUGGAUCCUCUAUAUUCACAUCAGCCAUACCACUUGAAACUUCCCAUUAUGCCACGUAAUCUCUGCCACCAGGGACGGAGGGAAGGUGGAGGCCUGGGGGUGCCCAGACCCCACCAUGCAUUCCGGAUGGCUAGUAUCUGUGUGAAUAAAAAUGAAUUUAGGAGUAUUUUAAUGGUUAGUGCCCCAAACAAUUUACAGCAGUAAUAGUUAUGUUAUUAUGAGCCCUCAUUUGUCAAUAACAUCCCUCACUUGUGUUUUCAUGUUCUGUUAGCAUUUAUCUCUCCUUUUCAUGUUUUAGUUACUUAUUCAUAUGAAUGUAAGUUUUUCCUCUCUCUCUAUUUAAUCUUUUUAUCAUAUAAUAUUCAUUGGAAAUAUUAUCUUAAAGGGCAUUUUUCUUACCAUGAUCAAUCAAUUUUCUAGUAACUUAUUCGAGAAUAUAUAAAUAAGUGAAUGUACGUCUAUUUUUUACUACAACAAUGGAAAUAUAGAAUUUUUAAUUCUUUUUUGUAUUUUCCAAAAAAUAAUAUUUUAAAUUUUAAUUAGUUUUUACAAAAAAUUGUGCGCCCAAACAAAUAAAUUAAUGGCUUCGUCCCUGUCUGUCACAUAAUUUGGGAAUUUUUUUUAGUACCCAUUUUGGGACCCCUAGCACUAUAAUUAGAAUAGUAGUUGAUGGUAUAUUAAAAAGCAUUAGACUUCUGUAUUUUCCCUACUGCAGGAAUGCUAAGUAAAUCUCAGAAACUUAAGAAAUAGUUGAUUAUCAGUACUCGUGUAGUAAUUUAUGUGAUCGUGAACCCCUUGAACUUUCUUUUGAUCGAGCAAAUUAUAGAAACCUGACUGUAUAAUUAUAAUAUUCUUAGACCUAUUGUUAGUAAUAAUAAUCUGUACUAUUUUGCUUUAAGUUGUGAUCUUUUGUGCUGUAGUGAAACUGUUAGACUGGGGGGAGGAGGGCAUGGCCACUACAGCAGAAACUGCUGCUUUGAGAGCAUCAUUCCGACAAGAGGUUGCUGUUUGGCACCAGCUUGACCAUCCAAAUGUGACAAAAGUAUAUUCCUGACCCAGCUUCUUCAUUAGAAGUUUGUUUGUUCUGUUAAUUUAAUGUAAAUUUCAGUUUGUUUUGAAAAUUUACUCUCCUAUUUAAUGAUGACUAGUUUUACUGUCAUUUCUUACUGGAAAUCAUAUUGCUUUUUUACUUUUUCUUAUCACUUUUUGGUAAAACAAUUUUACUGAAGUACACUAUAUUUUUUUUUCAGUUUAUUGGUGCUUCAAUGGGAACUUCUGAUCUUAAGAUUCCUUCCAAAACCUCUUCAUCUGCAAGUGAUGGUUUAGAUAACCUUCCUGCAAGGGCAUGUUGUGUUGUCGUGGAAUUUGUUCCAGGAGGAACACUAAAAAGCUUACUGUACAAGAACAGGAAGAAGAAACUUGCA